UACGUAGGAGACGAGCGUUGUCCGGAGUUACUGGGCGUAAAGGGUGCGCAGGUGGCGGCGCGCGUGGGGGGUGAAAUCGCCCGGCUUAACUGGGCGGGGGCCUUCCAGACGGCGUGGCUUGAGCAGCGGAGGGGGACGUGGAAUUCCGGGUGGAGCGGUGAAAUGCGUAGAUAUCGCUUGGAACGCCAAAGGUGAAAACAGGUUGCUGGGGUUGUGCCGACGCUGAGACACGAAAGCCAGGGGAGCAAACGGG
rnacentral:rRNA from 1 species